AAAUUGAAGAGUUUGAUCAUGGCUCAGAUUGAACGCUGGCGGCAGGCCUAACACAUGCAAGUCGAACGGUAGCACAGAGAGCUUGCUCUCGGGUGACGAGUGGCGGACGGGUGAGUAAUGUCUGGGAAACUGCCUGAUGGAGGGGGAUAACUACUGGAAACGGUGGCUAAUACCGCAUAAUGUCGCAAGACCAAAGAGGGGGACCUUCGGGCCUCUUGCC
rnacentral:rRNA from 2 species